rnacentral:rRNA from 1 species
UACAGAGGUCCCAAGCGUUGUUCGGAUUCACUGGGCGUAAAGGGUGCGUAGGUGGCCAGGUAAGUUUGGUGUGAAAGCUCGGGAGUCUAACUCCGAAAAGUCAUUGAAUACUAUCUGGCUGGAGGGUCGGAGGGGAGACUGGAAUUCUCGGUGUAGCAGUGAAAUGCGUAGAUAUCGAGAGGAACACCAGUGGCGAAGGCGAGUCUCUGGACGACUCCUGACACUGAGGCACGAAAGCUAGGGGAGCAAACAGG